rnacentral:SRP_RNA from 1 species
UUGUGAACCCGGUCAGGUCCGGAAGGAAGCAGCCGCAGCAACGAGGUCGAGUGCCAGGAUAAGGCUGGCCGGC